rnacentral:misc_RNA from 1 species
GCCAACCAUAACAAGCCCUCUUCCUGGAGUACAUAUGGUUGCGCACGUGCGCUAUCAUCUAACAUUACUCACCCUGAACGCUCCAUGGACGGAGCAGCGCCGCCAGCCCGGCUACCACCAAAAACCACCAGGACCGUUUCGUUCACAGCCUCCGGCACCGUUGAAGAAUUUGUCAAGUAAAUGGGUGUUUGAAUGUUCAGCCUUAAGCAAACAGGGGCAGCGAUUCUUUUCUUCUCUGGCCACCGCCACCGCCACUGCCGCUGGAGAUACCUCAGCCACCAACCGUUUGAUCAAGAAAUUUGUGGCAGCAUCACCUAAAUCCGUUGCUCUCGAUGCACUCUCCAAUCUCCUUUCUCCUCACUCGUCUUAUCCUCACCUCUCGGCUUUUGCAUUCCCCGUAAGUUAAUCUCUCUCUCCCCAUACUAAAAGCAAGCUCUUACCCAUCUGGACAUUUUUUUUUGGCAGCUUUACUUGAAGAUCACAGAAGCACGGUGGUUUGAGUGGAACCCAAAGCUAGUUGCCAAUCUUGCUGCGUUGCUUGAUAAACAAGGCCAGUACAAAGAGUUAGCAACUCUAAUAUCUGAUUCAACUUCUAAAUUACAGCUUAGAGGGCGAGAUCUUGCUCUCUUCUAUUGCAAUUUGGUUGAGUCUCACUCCAAACAGAAUUCUGUUGGAGGUUUUGAUGAUUAUUUUGCUCGUUUGACUCGGCUCGUUCAUAAUUCUAACUCUAUUCAUGUAAAAAGGCAAGGCUACAAAUCUAUGAUUAGUGGGUUAUGUGAAAUGGGUAGGCCUAGAGAAGCAGAAGAUUUGAUUGAAGAGAUGAGAGGCAAAGGAGUGAAGCCAUCAGUAUUUGAGUUUAGGUGUGUUCUUUAUGGGUAUGGAAUAUUAGGAUUGUUUGAAGAAAUGCAGAGCAGUGUCGUCCAAAUGGAAAGUUCAGGGUUUGAAGUUGAUACAGUUUGUUCAAAUAUGAUUCUUUCAUCCUAUGGAUCUUAUAAUGCACUUACUGAAAUGGGAUUAUUUCUCCAAAAGAUGAAGGAUUUGGGCAUUCCAUUCUCAUUAAGGACUUUCAAUUCGGUCUUGAAUUCAUGUCCUACAAUUAUAUCAAUGAUGCAAAACUCAAAUGCAGCUUAUCCGAUUUCGAUUCAAGAACUGAUAAAGAUUUUGAGUGAAGAUGAGGCCAUGGUGGUUGAAUCAUUGGUUGGAUAUUCAGUUUUGAAGGAGACAAUGAAGUGGAAUGCAUUAGAGGCUAAAUUGGAUUUGCAUGGAAUGCACUUGUGUUCAGCUUAUUUGAUAAUGUUAAUGUGGAUUGAAGAGAUGAGAAAGAGAUUGAAUAGUGGAAAUUAUGUGAUUCCAGCGGACGUUACAGUAGUUUGUGGUUCAGGGAAACAUAGUUCUAUUAGAGGGGAAUCUCCAGUUAAGCAGAUGGUCAAAGAGAUCAUGGUUCGAACAAGAAGCCCUAUGAGAAUUGAUAGAAAGAACAUAGGCUGUUUUAUAGCCAAAGGGAGCGUUGUUAAAGAAUGGUUAUGUUAAGCCAUUGCUUACGAAUGCCUUGUCGGUAAUAAGUGGAUGCGACACUCAUGGGUUACAAAAAUAAUAACUCAUUGGUUAGUAUUAUACCCUUUGGCUCAACUCAUAUUAAACCUCAUGAUUUUUUUUUUUUAACUUAAAAUGUUAAUAUUUAUAGGCUAAUAUUCAUUUGUUAUAAGACAAACUUAGAAUUUUUUUUAACUUAAAUUUUAAAUAUUUAUAGGCUAAUAUUCA